rnacentral:rRNA from 1 species
CCUACGGGAGGCAGCAGUGAGGAAUAUUGGUCAAUGGCCGAGAGGCUGAACCAGCCAAGUCGCGUGAGGGAAGACUGCCCUAUGGGUUGUAAACCUCUUUUGUCAGGGAGCAAUUGGCGCUACGUGUAGCGUUAUCGAGAGUACCUGAAGAAAAAGCAUCGGCUAACUCCGUGCAAGCAGCCGCGGUAAUACGGAGGAUGCGAGCGUUAUCCGGUUUUAUGGGGUUAAAAGGAUGCGUAGGCGGAAUGCCAAGUCAGCGGUAAAAUCGCGGGGCUCAACCUCGCUCCGCCGUUGAAACUGGCGUUCUUGAGUGGGCGAGAAGUAUGCGGAAUGCGUGGUGUAGCGGUGAAAUGCAUAGAUAUCACGCAGAACUCCGAUUGCGAAGGCAGCAUACCGGCGCCCAACUGACGCUGAAGCACGAAAGCGUGGGUAUCGAACAGGAUUAGAUACCCUGGUAGUC